UAAAAGAACAUGUGCAAGACAGGAGUGUA
rnacentral:piRNA from 1 species